rnacentral:tRNA from 1 species
UAGCUCAGUGAUAGAGCACAUGUUUUACAUGUAUGUGGCCUUGGUUUGAUCCCAAG